AAGGCCGCUUCGGCAUAGAAAGUGCCAGAGAGGAAGGAAGCCCUUCCUUCCCACCCACACAGCCACACCACUUCCUGUCCACCGUCUUGCCCCGUAUUGCACCAGCCCAGCCCUGAACCUUGGGGUUUCUAUCAUUGAAUCAGGCCCCAGCUUUGGCCCCAAACCUUGGUUAAGAACGAUGACUCUCGCGGACAGGAAAGUGAGAGACCCAAAAGCCCCUCUCUGCUUUCCCAUCAGCGCUAGGGUUUCCAGAGUGUGGUGUGCUUAGCAGGGCUGUGGGCUCUGGCCUAGCAGGAGCUGCAAGACAGGGGAGGCCCCCGACCUCACUGACACGCCUUCCCUCCCGUGACAUCCAGGAAGUCCUGGCAGAGUCAUCCGUGUCACGGCAAGAAGGUAUGUGACGGAAAGCCUGGGAACAGAAAGAAGGAAGAACAUAGGCCCGGGAGGAAGGGAAGAAAGGGAUGGGAUCCUGGCGUGCUGAACCAAACCAGCAGGGGCGCCCAGGCAAGGUGUGAUGAAUGCCCCGGAGGAUAUGCUGCUGGAAGGCCCCCUAAGAACGCCACAGAACUCAAGGUGUCAGAGUGGAGCUUGCCGAGGCGAGUCUCCACAAGCUGCUCUGUGCGUGGAGUCAAGGAGACCUCCCUGGAUGGCCCAUUUGGAAACUGACCACCUUGACGAGCUCGGCCUCCCCUGUUUGGGAACAAAGGAGAUCAGUGAGGUCACUACUCGUACCAGGGACACCACCACUAUUAGCGUGACCUCACUGAAAGUCUGUAUUUAGCACGUGGCAUGCUUGAAGAACUUGUGUCCUACAUCUGGGACUCUGUUCAGGGCAGACUCUGCUGCUGGAGACAACCCCCCUGCUCUUCUGGGUGUUCUAGCGUGACCUUUUCUGGUACAUCAUUCUUAAGGAGAUUAGAAAUGUCGUCACAGAUCAGACCAAAGGCCACUAGCCCAGAAUUCCAACCGCGGCACAGAAGGAAAGGGCGAGGGAGAAUCCAGUGUUUGCAUUCUAAGACACUGUUCUUCAAGGACAGAAGCACACUCGGAACCUCUGUCUCCCUUAAUAACCUGCUCCUUAUCGACCCAUCCAUUAAUCAAGACUCUUCCUGGACAGUUAAGUUCUCAGUCACCCUGUGCAGGGCAUCAGCUUCUACUGUGCUCUGAGUUCUGCCCCUGUGCUGUCUGAAUCCAGGGUGACUCAUUCCUGGACAGAGCAGGCGCCCCUCGCCCAGGGGCCUGGGAAGCAGGGCAGUGUCCUGAGGAUUCUGGCAGCCUUCGCCAAGCUUUCUUGUAGUCGUUCCUCUAGAUCAGCAGCCAGCAAAGCAAAACAUUACCUUCCAAAAUGUCACAAACCCACAGAAGGCGCAAUGCCAGGCAGUACUUUCUGAAAGGGAGAAACCAUGAGGGUUGGAGAAACAGACGGUGGCCAGCAUCCUGAGGCAAAAGCAUGGAAAGAACCUCAUAGCUGUUCUUGAACUGUUGCAGAGAAUUUGCUGAUUAUUAGGUCAGAUGUUCUUGGAAGAUGUUCUCCCACCUGGACAGAGACACAGAGAAAGCCAGGCAGUGUGUUGACCCUGAGUGUCGCCUCCAAGGAGUGGUGUCUCUUGGGCCAUUUCUGCUGUCCUGGGCUGCGUCACCCAGAGUAAGGUCCUCAGGGUCACUUCCUGUUCCAAGAGGGCUGCUGGAGUUCCACUCAUCAGGUCAUAUUCCAGACCAACAGCAAGGAGAAAGGGGAAGAAGAGGAAAAGGUGUCUACCUCUCCCUUUUACACAGUGUCCCCAGAAGUCCCUUGGCUCCUCUAAUUAUGUUUCCUUGGCUACCAUUUUAUCAUAUGGUCGCAUCUAAAUGCAAGGAAGGCUGGGAGGUACAGCCUUUAGCUAGGAACAUAGCUGAGGAAGGGGAGGACGGACGCAGACACGCGGAGGGAAACAGCCAGGACAACAAGAGGCUGCAGAGGAUCGGACUCCAUGCCUACGAGACUCUAGAAGAGCCAAAUCUAAUUUAUAAUGACAAGAAACAAUCACUGCCUGAGGGCCAGGAGUGAAGGGGGUGGGGUACGGGAAGUUUGCUGGGAUGAUGACAAUGAUCUGUGAUGUUAUGUAGGUGUGUAAAUUUGUCAAAAUGAUUCCAAAUGUACUUAUAAGGUUGAUUUUUGUAAGUAUGGGGAAUCCCAGCCCUGUAACAGAACUAAUGAACUUUUGUUCAUUUCCCUCAUCUUCUUCUAUUUGCUUGUCUUCACGUGGUUGAAAUCGGAACACACAUGAUGACUUUGGAUCUUGCCUUUUUCACCCAACAUUACAUCACAAAAUUUCCCAUGUUGCUACAUUAAUCUUCAUAAUCACCCUUUUAAAUGACUGUAAUU